UUAUAUAUGUUCCUUUGACAAAGAAAAGAUAUGUCUAAAAGAGUAUAUUAAGGAUGGGACUAUACGGAAUGAAUAUAUUAAAGAGAUUGUUUUCACGAGUCGAUCAUUAAGGAACCAAGAAUUGACCAAAAAGGCUCUCGUGGCUCUUCCUUACCAAAAAGUCUCGAAUUAGCUUCCGCAGCAUGACGUGACGACAUAUCUCAGCAUCAAAGACAAAGAACAUUAUACAGUUUUCGCCAAGGGAAAGGCACCGUGCUCGUCGCCACUGAUGUUGCAUCUCGCAGUCUGGAUAUCCCGGAUCUUGAUUCGGAGGAUCUGUCGCCGGGUUUCAUUCUGAUGUUUAUCCCGCAGCAGCUGCAGCCGAAGUUGGAAAGAUUGAUAUGGAAAGGUAAAAGCAGCAGUUUUUGAUCUCCCAGAGGAAAUGGGAAAGUUACAGCUGAGUCGAGAAAUGCCGCCACAAAGUACCAUUUCGAAAGUCACCAAGCUGCGUGGUUUGCAAGAUGACGGGCCCCGAGUGAUUUCUAUGGAGGGUUCACUUUCAGAGAGUGGGAUUCUUGCAAUGGCUUCAAAGGCCAGAGAAGGUUCAGUCAACUAACACGAGGCUGGGGAAGCUGGCAUGACUCGGAAGAUGAUGGAGACAUAGUCGAAGUUACAGAACCAAGAAUAACUGCUCUAAGCUAUCGAGCAGCAGCUGUGAGGGUUGGCUAAUACGAGGUACGACCUCCGACAGGUCCUCGUCCCGCGAGAGGUAAGAUUCUCUCUCCAUUCAUCUGUUGAAUCCGUGUAUCUUACAGUAAUGUGAAAAGACUACCUUCGUUUGCUGCAGGAGCUUUCAGGGGAUCGUGUUUCUUUUGUGGAAGAUCAGGGCAUAGAGCAUCUAAAAAGCCCCCAAAAGUGGUGAUCUCAAACUCGAUAGACCGAGAGUUUUUGGACACUGAAGAACAGAUGGCUGCAUUAGCUAUAGCGGCUCUGCGUCGGGCAUGGGGUUGGUCUGAUGACAGAGUACCGCCUGCUAGAACUGCCUCGUGCAAGUUUUCCAAGGAUCAUCAGUUGUUUCCCCUCCUUCGGGAGAAGGGCUGCUCCAGUGCUCCUUCACAACCUAUUAGAUGUCCCGUCCCGUGUUUUCUUUCCAGUUUUGACAGUUCCCCAGUCGAAUUUUAAUACGGGACAAUCAUCAUUGGAGGCUUCUUCAAGCUCUGUUUAAGUACCUUUUCAAUAUUAACGAACUUCCAUUUACUGGCUGGAAGUUUCUGUUUUCAA